rnacentral:rRNA from 1 species
CCUACGGGAGGCAGCAGUGAGGAAUAUUGGUCAAUGGACGAGAGUCUGAACCAGCCAAGUAGCGUGAAGGAUGACUGCCCUAUGGGUUGUAAACUUCUUUUAUAAAGGAAUAAAACGAGGCACGUGUGCCUUUUUGCAUGUACUUUAUGAAUAAGGAUCGGCUAACUCCGUGCCAGCAGCCGCGGUAAUACGGAGGAUCCGAGCGUUAUCCGGAUUUAUUGGGUUUAAAGGGAGCGUAGAUGGGUUGUUAAGUCAGUUGUGAAAGUUUGCGGCUAAACCGUAAAAUUGCAAUUGAUACUGGCAGGCUGGAGUACAGUUGAGGUAGGCGGAAUUCGUGGUGGAGCGGUGAAAUGCUUAGAUAUCACGAAGAACCCCGAUUGCGAAGGCAGCUUACUAAACUGUGACUGACAUUGAUGCUCGAAAGUGUGGGUAUCAAACAGGAUUAGAUACCCCUGUAGU